rnacentral:rRNA from 1 species
ACGGCCUAAAGCGUGGUUAGAUAAUAUUAAAAUUAAUAGAAAUAAAAAUUAACUUAACUGUCGCACGUACUUGUUAAGAGGAAGCCUAAAAACGAAAGAUAUUCUAAUAAGCAAAUUACUUGAACCCACGAAAGCUAAGGAACAAACUAGGAUUAGAUACCCUAUUAUGCUUAGCCUUAAACUUUGGAACCCCCGCCUGAGUACUACGAGCCAUAGCUUAAAACUCAAAGGACCUGGCGGUGCUCUACACCCCCCUAGAGGAGCCUGUUCUAUAAUUGAUACCCCCCGCUAAACCUCACCACUUAUUGCCAAUCCCGCCUAUAUACCGCCGUCGUCAGCUCACCAUUUAAAUGAUCAAUAGUAAGCAUAAUGAUAAACAUAAAAACGUCAGGUCAAGGUGUAGCGAAUUAAGUGGAAAGAAAUGGGCUACAUUUUUUAUACAAAAAAAUACGAAAAAUUUUAUGAAAAAGGAUUUAAAGGUGGAUUUAGCAGUAAAAGGAAAUUAGAGUGUUCUUUUUAAACAGGCCCUAGAGCGCGCACACACCGCCCGUCACCCUCCUCAGAAAAACAACUUAUAAUAUAUAAACAUAAAAAUAAAAGAGGAGGUAAGUCGUAACAUGGUAAGUUUACCGGAAGGUGUACUUGGAUUAU